rnacentral:rRNA from 1 species
AUUGAACGCUGGCGGCAUGCUUUACACAUGCAAGUCGAACGGCAACAGGCCGCGAGGUGCUGACGAGUGGCGAACGGGUGAGUAAUGCAGCGGAACGCGCCCAGACCUGGGGGAUAACUACUCGUAAGAGUAGCUAAUACCGCAUACUAUCUCUGGCUGCCAGCGGGUGACCGCAAGGCCUCGUCCGACUUGACCCGCCGAUGUCAGAUUAGGUAGUUGGUGGGGUAAAGGCUCACCAAGCCAACGAUCUGUAGCUGGUCUGAGAGGACGACCAGCCACACUGGGACUGAGACACGGCCCAGACUCCUACGGGAGGCAGCAGUGGGGAAUUUUGGACAAUGGGCGCAAGCCUGAUCCAGCAAUGCCGCGUGCAGGAAGAAGGCCUUCGGGUUGUAAAGUGCUUUUGUACGGAAAGAAACGCCUCUGGUUAAUACCCGGGGGUAAUGACGGUACCGUAAGAAUAAGCACCGGCUAACUACGUG